rnacentral:rRNA from 1 species
UACAGAGGGUGCGAGCGUUGUCCGGAAUCAUUGGGCGUAAAGCGCACGUAGGCGGUCUGUUAUGUCGGAUGUGAAAGCCCUCGGCUCAACUGAGGAAGUGCAUCCGAAACUGGCAGGCUAGAGUACUAAAGAGGGUCGCGGAAUUCCCGGUGUAGAGGUGAAAUUCGUAGAUAUCGGGAGGAACACCGGUGGCGAAGGCGGCGACCUGGGUAGAUACUGACGCUGAGGUGCGAAAGCGUGGGGAGCAAACAGG